UAAUACGGGGGGGGGCAAGCGUUGUCCGGAAUCAUUGGGCGUAAAGGGCGUGUAGGCGGGUCCGUAAGUCGUGGGUGAAAAGCUUCUGCUCAACAGAUGACUUGCCCACGAUACUACGGGUCUUGAGUGCAGAAGGGGGAAGCGGAAUUCCAGGUGUAGCGGUGGAAUGCGUAGAUAUCUGGAAGAACACCGGUGGCGAAGGCGGCUUCCUGGUCUGUUACUGACGCUGAGGCGCGAAAGCGUGGGGAGCAAACAGGAUUAGAUACCCUGGUAGUCCACGCCCUAAACGAUGGGUACUAGGUGUUGGGGGAUUCGACCCCCUCAGUGCCGAAGCUAACGCAUUAAGUACCCCGCCUGGGGAGUACGGCCGCAAGGCUG
rnacentral:rRNA from 1 species